CGGAGACACAUCGUUAUUUAUAGAGAGAUCAUAAUCGAGAAUCGGUUGAUAUAAUAUAUGAGUAUAAGAAGCCAAAAUUAAGUGUAAUUUUGAGGAAUAAAAGAUACAUAUUUAUACCGCA